UACGGGGGGAGCAAGCGUUGUUCGGAUUUACUGGGCGUAAAGGGCGCGUAGGCGGCGUGGCAAGUCACUUGUGAAAUCUCCGGGCUUAACUCGGAACGGUCAAGUGAUACUGCUGUGCUAGAGUGCGGAAGGGGCAACUGGAAUUCUCGGUGUAGCGGUGAAAUGCGUAGAUAUCGAGAGGAACACCUGCGGCGAAGGCGGGUUGCUGGGCUGACACUGACGCUGAGGCGCGAAAGCUAGGGGAGCGAACGGG
rnacentral:rRNA from 1 species